rnacentral:tRNA from 1 species
GGCUUAGUGGUCUAGCGGUAUGAUUCCUGCUUUUGGUGCAGGAGGUCCCGGGUUCAAUCCCCGGCUGAGCCC